AGAGCCAAGACCGACUGAGAGGAACAUCUUUUACUAUCAGUUCUGCCUGUGUUUUGAAAGUCUCAGAAAGUGAAAGUAAGAGAGAACAUGCAACCCUAUACCACUCUCCCUCUCCUGGCUGUGCUCAUCACUGUGGUAAAUGGAGGUGAAAUCCAGGUGGAGCUGAGGACUGAAAAGUCUGUGUCGAAUGACUGUCACGAAAACGCUACUCUUCAUUGUAUCAUCAUAUCAAAAGGCAGCGAUUUCAUGGUUUUUGGGCUAUACUGGGAGAAUAAGACUGGAGAACAACUCUGCAACUAUAAAACAUCCGAAGGAGUACACUCUGAUCCUCGCAUCCAGUGCCAUUAUACGCCUGGAAAACUGUCCCUCACCAUCUCCAAUCUAUCUGAAGCUGAUCGGGGACAGUACAGCUGCAAAUUGUUUACAAACUUCAAUCAUACAAAGGCUGACACCACCCUGCAUGUCUCAGACUGUCCUGUGGAACCAGUAGAGUCCUUAAGGACAUCAUUCUCUGUCAGGACGGUGCCCAACCACGCCAGCCCUUUACAUACGAAAUGGACAUUCUUGGUGCUAACAGCGUUCAUACUCACCCUUUAAUACCAGGCAGCUUUCGGACAAUCUGGACUAGAGCAGAUUCCAGUGUGCUACUGAUUUUGAAUA
rnacentral:lncRNA from 1 species